GGCAGCGCGCGCGCGCCAAGCCGCCCUCUUAAAGGGCCAGUGGACACCGGGCUCUUAAAGGGCCAGCGCACGGUGGGCGCCCCCCGCGGGGGGCGGGGGGGGCUCGGGCCGGGGCCCGCGGGGUGGCGGGCGGCCGGUGUGACGCGUGGGCCGGUUCGCCGGGAGGGCGAGAGCAGGGUGGGCUGCGGGGCCGGGGCGCCAUGGCUCGCGGCCGGGCCCGGACGCCGUCCCGGAGCAGGAGCCGGAGCAGGAGCCGGAGCCGGAGCCGGCGGGAGAGGAAGGCGAAGAGGCGGCGGCGAAGCAGCAGGGAGCCGUCCGGCGGCAGCCGCUCCCCGGCGAGGCCGCGGCGCUCCGGGUCCCGCUCGGCGGCGGCUCGGCGCGGAAGGAAGAAAGGAGGAAAGGCCAAAAAGCAGAGGAGGGCGAGUACGUCAUCUUCUGGGCCAGCGUCCUCCUCCGCCAGCUCCUCCGCGUCCUCGACGUCCUCCAGCUCCUCUUCGGACGACUCCAGCGACAGCGACGCCAAACCGAGGAAGAGGCGGCACAGCAAAAAGAAGCAGGUGAAAGACAAAAAGAGGAAGAAGAAAAGGAUAAAAAAGAAACUGAAAAAGAAGUCGAAGGAGAGGGCUAAGGAGGAGAGCGCCAAGGGGGACGCGGUGCCUGGCCCCUCGCUGGAGCAGUGGCAGAAGGAGGCGCUGAUGGACGCCGGGCCAGUUUUGACAGAUGAGCAAAAAUCCCGAAUCCAGGCGAUGAAGCCAAUGACGAAGGAAGAGUGGGACGCGAGGCAGAGUGUCAUAAGGAGAGUCGUGGAUCCCGAAACGGGCAGAACAAGGCUUAUUAAGGGAGACGGCGAAGUGCUGGAAGAAAUCGUCAGCAAAGAGCGACACAAGGAGAUCAACAAGCAGGCCACCCGUGGGGACGGGCUGGCCUUUCAGGCGCGCACGGGGAUGCUGCAGUGACGGCGCCGGCUCCGGCUCGGCCCGUCCUGCCUGCGAGACGCCGGCCCGCGCGGGACGCCGCCGGUUUCCUCCGCGCCGAUGAGCUGGAGCCAGGCGGGCUGGAACGCCGCGGGCAGCCUCUAUCGCUCCUAAGCAGGCGGAGAGCAGCCUUCUCGCAUCUUUAAUCGGGGUCACGCACGACGACGCUGCACGCGAAGUGCACCGAGGCGCGGGGCUGACAGCGAGGCGGAGACGGGAGGAGCGCAGAAGGUCCGUCGCACGCGAGCGCGGGCGGCCGCUCGCCUGGGGCCCCCGGCGCGCCUGCCAGCGGCUCCCUCCGCCCCGCUGGUACCCCUAGAGCAACUUUUUAUAAAUCAAAGAUAACUAACAUCACAGAAUCUAAAACUGACAGUGAAGGAUAUCAAGAGGCAGAGGGCACGAGGGCAGAAGGGGGCUGUAAGGCUUCUAGCACUAAGAGGCGCUGCAGCAAACGGCAGCGACACCCGAAGAAGGGGCUGCUGCCGCUGCAAGCACGGGGGCCCAGCGGCUGUUACCCUCCUGCUCUCGGCUCGUGCAUUGGACACUGUAAACAUUUUUGGCAUUUAAAUUUUGCCUCGUCUGACUGAGGAAGCGAGCAAAAACCAGGAAAAGAAGCUGACGUGAGUGCACGGGUCUUUUUCUUCUUUUUUUUGGAAAAGGCUUUAAAGGGACCAAUACUUCCAAUAUAAAAAACUGCUUUUUAUAAAAAUAAUAAUAAUAAUCUGAGCUCUGCAGAA